UAAGAAUUCUGACCGCACUAAGCAUGC
rnacentral:piRNA from 1 species